UACGUAGGGGGCAAGCGUUGUCCGGAAUCAUUGGGCGUAAAGAGCGUGUAGGCGGUUCAGUAAGUCUGCUGUGAAAGUCCAGGGCUCAACCCUGGGAUGCCGGUGGAUACUGCUGGGCUAGAGUACGGAAGAGGCGAGUGGAAUUCCCGGUGUAGCGGUGAAAUGCGCAGAUAUCGGGAGGAACACCAGUAGCGAAGGCGGCUCGCUGGGCCACACCUGACGCUGAGACGCGAAAGCUAGGGGAGCGAACAGG
rnacentral:rRNA from 1 species